UGGGAUCAAAAGUUAUUUUAU
rnacentral:piRNA from 1 species